GACAAGGUGUCCGAGUGGUUGUAAGUAAUUAUUCUAGCUCCACAAUUUGUGCGGCGCCCUAACACUCGAAACAGAAGGAGUGUGACUAGAAAUCACAUGCGUUCGCGCGCGUAGGUUCGAAUCCUGCUCUUGUCG
rnacentral:tRNA from 1 species